rnacentral:rRNA from 1 species
ACCUGGUUGAUCCUGCCAGUAGUCAUACGCUUGUCUCAAAGAUUAAGCCAUGCAUGUCUAAGUAUAAAGGUAUUUACAAUGAAACUGCGAAUGGCUCAUUCAAACAGUUAUAGUUUAUUUGAUAUUCAAACUUAUAUUUAUAUUAGUUUAAAUGGAUAACCGUAGUAAUUCUAGAGUUAAUACAUGCGUUACGGGGGACUUUACGGAACCCCAGUAUUUAUUAGAUUUUAAACCAGCAUUCCGCAAGGUCUACUGAGAUGAUUCAUGAUAACUGAUCGAAUUGCUGGUCUACCAGCAAUAAAUCAUUCAUGUUUCUGCUUCCCAUCAGCUUGAUGGUAGUGUAUUGGACAACCAUGGCAUUCACGGGCUAUCGGGGGAUUAGGGUUCGAUUCCGGAGAGGGAGCCUGAGAAACGGCUACCACUU